rnacentral:pre_miRNA from 1 species
AUUCUACUCCCUCUGUUGCACAAUACAUGCCUUCUAUUUGUCAAAAUAUAUAUGUAUCUAGACAUGUUUUAGUAUAUAGGCACAUCCAUUUUUGGACAAAUGGAAGUCAAGUAUUUUGGAAUGGAGGGAGUACACA